rnacentral:rRNA from 1 species
GCCCUUAGAGUUUGAUCCUGGCUCAGAUUGAACGCUGGCGGCACGCCUAACACAUGCAAGUCGAGCGGUAGCAGGGCUAGUAGCAAUACUAGCUGCUGACGAGCGGCGGACGGGUGAGGAAUACGUAGGAACCUGCCCUCAAGCGGGGGAUAACCAAGGGAAACUUUGGCUAAUACCGCAUAAUCUCGAGAGAGUAAAGCUGCCCCGGAGUUGAUCCGGGGUGGCACUUGAGGAGGGGCCUGCGUCCGAUUAGCUAGUUGGUGAGGUAAAGGCUCACCAAGGCGGUGAUCGGUAACUGGUCUGAGAGGACGACCAGUCACACUGGGACUGAGACACGGCCCAGACUCCUANGGGAGGCAGCANUGGGGAAUAUUGGACAAUGGGGGCAACCCUGAUCCAGCGAUGCCGCGUGAGUGAAGAAGGCCCUCNGGUCGUAAAGCUCUUUAGGUUGGGAAGAAGUGUACUCGGUGAAUAUC